UUCAAUUCAUAUGAAAGAAACAUAUUUUUAUCGUUUAGAUAAAGACAGUCCCUCAAAAUGUAUCUAUAUUAACACUGCUUGUUUUAAAGUGGUGUGUUCUAUUUAUAGAAGCGGUUGAGGGGCCUCCGUGGCCUAGUGGUUAGAGCAUCGCGGUCACAAUCACACGGCCUCUCACCUCUGUCGGCGCGGGUUCGACUCCCGCUCCCGCCGGUAAGUGAGAAAGUUUUCCAGUUUACUUUUGGAAGGUCGUUGGUCUCUUCCGAACUACAUUGUAUCUGGGUUUUCUCUUCCACCAAUAAAAACUGGGCGGCACCAUAUAACUGAAAAAUUGUUGAGUGUGGCGGAAAACAUCAAUCAAUCAAUCAAUCUAGAAGUGGUUGUACUCUGGGAAAGGCCGCAAAACAUAUUCUUCGGGAAUUUUGUCAAUGCAUAUCCUCGACAAAAUGCAUGCAAAUUUGGAUAGAAAUCUGUAGGGUUUUCAAAUAUUAAGAUGUAGUGUGGGGAAUUAUCUUAAGUUUUUUAAGGACUUGCUAGGUACCGGAAGUGAUUAAAAAGUACCAGACGUUGUAUAAAAUUAAUAAAUCGCAUCUCAAUAGGGUUGUUUAUUCCUUCAAUUUGUAGUUCUUCUUUGUCAAUCGAAUUAUUCAGUCAAGAUCUUAUCUUAUCUCAUCAGAAAUUGGUCGGAAGACCUACUAAUUGCACACACCGAAAUCGUGCCUUUUGUCUGGUACUUUUUGUCCGGGAGUGUUCUACAAAAGCGAUCGAUAUGAAACUUUCUAAAAUGAUUGCAUAGCAUUUGUAAAUGUGCAGAACGAUAGUCAUUUUGUCUGCACAUGCAUGCAUGCGCAUGGAUGUAAAUUGUAUUUAGGGUACAAAUAUUCGAAAUCAUAAUACAGAAGGAAUAGAUAUGAAACCUUUAUACGAUGGUAGUAUAUCAUUUGUAGAUAUGCAGACGUAUACUCAUUUUAUGUGCACAUGCAGUGAUGUCCAUGCACGUGCAUUGAAUUUUUACGAUAACGUUUUUGUUUUUCAUCAAAUACAUUUGAUGUUGAGGUUUUAAUUUUCUCUUGGUACUCCUUACAAAUUGUUGUGGUUACAAAUACGGCUCAGCACGCGCAUGCACGUGUGCUGAAUUCUGAUUGAGCGAUUUUAAAAUCACUAUAACUUCCUUUUUUUGAUGGGAACAUUAUGAACUUUAUACUGUAAGUAUACUAUACAAAGGUCUGUUGAAUAACCUCAACAACAGUGUACCGUCAUACUCAGGAGCGUGUGGAUGCACGUGUAUUGCUUUAGUUCAUUGUUUGGUACAGAAAUGCUCACGCCUAUAUAAUAAAAGGCUACAGUAAAAUGAUUUUUGAUGUAGCUUUGUAAUAGGUAUGCUUAAUGAAUUUUGUGAAAAAUAGAUACUAAAUUAAAUUUGAAUGCGCGAACAUGCACGUGCAUUGUAAUUAUUAACUUUUUAAAUCAGGUAUUGAUCUAUACCUUUUGGAAUGAGAAAAAUGGAAUGUUUUCAAGAAAGUAGGUUCAUACUAAAACAACUGAGAAUGUAAUAACAUUAGUUGCGCAGAAGGUCAACAACAACACUUUUAAAUAGGGGAAUAUAUCGUAACGGUCCCCGUUACAAUUAGAACUUGUUACAUUUUUUUAAACAUUUUCAAUGUGUCCAUUAUUUGUUUUUAUCUUAAAUUUCCUGUCUAAUUCUUUGGGUAAGGAACAAUUAACCGAACAGCCAUGGAAAAAAGUGUGAUGUCAUAAUCCCCUCUACAAAUCAAAGACAAAUUGUCAAUGAUAGACAAUCAGCGAAAUGUCUGUUUAAUUCAUUCUCUCGAGGAAUGUCAACAGUCAUAGCCUACAUCCACUUCUCUUCGCAGACCUUUGUGUUUUAAUUCUAGAAAACCUGUAAAUACAGAUUAAUAAUCAUCUGAUAAAACUUUUAAAAUCGCAAAAAUCCCAAUUUACAGUGCUUCCAACUUAUCAUUCUAAAUAGUAUCUUGGGAACAAACCCUUUUUAUUUAACAAAUCUGAAAAACACGAUAUAUAUACUGUACUUUUAUAAUAGGGGAGAAGAGCCAACAGUUCACCUCAAAAGUGGGACUCUGUGCAGGAAUAGUUAUGAGAGUUUGAACAAAACAAAUUUCCAUAUUUCUAUAACAAAAAGGUUGAAUGUAAGGAAAAUAUUUGAAAAGGGUUUUCAAUCGCUCAAAAAUAUGUUUAUUUAGGGGUGAGAGAGCAUAUGGGAUAAUAAAUUCUGGAUAACAAAAGGAAAAAAAAAACAUAUAUGUCCGUAUCUGAUUUAGAAAAAUGGCUUUUUUCUUUUGUUAGGUUACCUUGAAUGGACCCCGUGUCCAAAAAUGAUGAAUUCGACUGCACGUAAGUUAUGCUAUGUCACGCAAGACGUAUUGACGUGGGUCCGAUAUAAAAAAUAAAAUAAAAAUUAUAUCUUCUAUUCUAAGUGUAAACGUUGUGGGGGCAUCCUGUUAAAUCAUACCCAGUGAUUAAACUAUCUAUAUACUAAAAGUAUAUAAUCCAGGACAUCAUUGUAAAGAACACAAAGGAGUAAUACAAAGUAAAACAUAUAAUCUUUUAAGACUUCAAGGGGAACAUUUAAGAUGCAUAUUCCAUCGCUGAUCUUGGCGUUUGUGUUAGAUUUUCUCGGCCAAAUAUUAACAGAGGAUGUAUGUUGCCCAAUACGUAACAACAUGUCCAUUGAUCUUACCGAGGGAGUUUUCAAAGGGAACAUACUGGGUACAAUUCAGCCCACAUUCGGAUCUUCGCCAUCAACGAACAUGGAGUGUGGCACACCGGCCCAUCUUACGAUGGACUUCGACAACUUUUCCAACUCUAUGUCUUUUUGGAAACAGGACCAGUGUAUUUCGUCCCCCACGUGUGGACAGCGCAUGCUGCGAGUCGACAUGUUUCUGGGGAAACAACGGAGUGGAUGCAUGUUCCACGUGGGAGAUAGCCUAGGCAAUGAUGAUUUGGGUACAGAACGCCCAAAAUAUAAUGCUUAUAUAUUGGGAUAUUAUCCCAAUAUAGUGAGCUCGAAAUCAGAUCAUUGCAAAACAGAGACAACGGAGUGGAUGAACACCCUUCUGGCACCCGACGUUUAACAACUCACGGUGUUUGUCGCCAACAAUUACUUCAGGAUCCAAAAUGACCAGGGAUUUGAUGUGGAAGAAUGCCACAGAUGCGGCUUUGCUCUCAAUGGACAGGACCCUGACGAUCGCUACAACACUUUGUACAUGGCAUUCAACGACGACAUCCAAGGAAAAAAUUCUAAUGCGUAUGGAGUGUGUCACGUCAAAAUCCACUGGGUAUGCCCGGAUUGUUAGAGGAGUCUUGUGAUAACAUAAUCCCCUUUCUGAAGGAAAGACAAAUUGUCAUUGAUAAACAAUCAACGAAAUAUCCGUUUGAUUUAUUCUAUUUCGAGAUGUCAACAGGGCUACCCUACAUCCACGUCACUUCGCAAACCUCUGUGUUUUGAUUCUUAAAACAUCUGUAAAUGCUGAUUAAUAAUGAUCUGAUAAAACUUUUAAAAUUGCAAGCAACUUAAAUUACAGUGGUUCCAAUUUUAUGAUUAUAAAUAGGAUAUUGACAAUAUACUCGUUUUUAUUUAAAAGUUUUAAAAAAUCUAAAUAUUGUAACUUUUGUAAUACAGAAGAAGAGACAAUGAUGAACAUUUUAUGGGAGUGUGACUGUGUACAGGAAUUCUCAUCAGAGUUUGAGCGUUACGUUCAGAAUAAAAUAAAUCUCCAUAUACCCAUAACAAAACGUAGUUCAAUUUUUGGAUUUUUUGGCAAAAAUAAAGCAGUCCAGAAUAAUCGUCUUCACGGGGUUAAAUAUUACAUUUAUACAAUGAGGUGUUCUAAAAAUACCGAACUGCAAGAUACGCGGUAGCCCACAUUAAACCUUUUUUAUGAGAACCAAAAAUAUAUAAUUUAUAAAAAUGUCGAUACGUUCUGGAGGAACUGGAACUCAUCAUUUGAAUAAGUGACUGUACUUCAUUCUCUCUCUCUUCCACACACACACAUAAACAUCAUAAUACAAGUUAUAUUCAUUCAAUUUGUAUAUAAUAUAUAUUUUAAUUAUACUUGUAUCAAAAAAAUUAAACAUCAUAAAAAGUAACCCAAAACGUGUAAAUACCGGCUUUCGUUUCACUCAAAGUUUACAAUUCAAAUAUGCCUGGAUUGACGUAACAAACAAGGUAUUUCCACAACUUUAGAAUCUGGAAAAAUGAGUAAACACGUAUUUGGUUCUCGACUUGUAGAUGUGACAUAAUCAUAUCAUUUUUCCGCUGUCAUUUCCGGUCGUCACCGGAAGUGAACAGAAAAAACAUCAAAUUUCAAACCAUGCACUUGAAACGAAAUUGGCAGAGAAAAACAAUGUCUGUUUUGUAGUUUCAGAAAAUGUCAUACUUACCGGAAGUUAAAACAGGAACUUCCAGGUUAUUGAGAAAAACUUCGAAAAAUUGUUCUUUCUUUAUCCUCAUAUAUCUCGCUUAUAAAUCAAUUAUUUGAUAUGAUUUUCACAUAUAUUAUUGACUCUAUCCAUCAUUAGAGUACCGUCAACUUCUUUUAUUUUCAAAAAUCACUUCCGUUCGUGAGAUAUGUACGAUUUCCGUCUUUUUGAAGAUAUUUCUCCGGGAGUUUUCUCGUAAAUUGUCGACGAUUGAGUCUUGAAACUUUCAGGAAUGUUAAAUGGUGAUUUGUAGAAGUGUCAUACGUGUUUCAAUAUUGCUGUCGCCACUUCUGUCGUCCACCAGAAGUAGCUUAAAAUGUUUGUUUUUUUUUUCAAUUCUAAUGAUCAAAACAUUAUAUAAUAGAGUGUGAUAAGUCUUACCAUUUCCACUAAAGUUUGGUGUUCGAAACCAGAAGUUGUCCGAAAAUUCAGUAUUUUCUUCGAAAGUUUUAGUAGUGGUUCCUGAACGAUUAAAGUGAAAUUUUUAGUCGUUUUAUGGACUUCAAAGAUACCGGGAGUAAAUAAAACAAAACUGGACGUUCUUUAUAAUUGAUCAAUCAUAUCUUACAUGUGUAUCGCUCUAUUUUCAAGAAUUUAGGUGUUUAUUCUUUUCAUGCGUUGUAGUUCUUCACUAAUUGAAUUAUCCCAGUCAAGAUCUCAUCUCGUCAGAAAUCGGACGGACGACCUACUCGUUGCCUCGUAAUGAGAUCGUGUAUAUUUAUCAUUUUUAUUAAACUUGGCAUAUACAUGUACCUGUAAUGUUUAUGUGUAACUUUAGAUAACAUCAUUUUUACUAUUGAUACUAAACAAGCUUGAAAUUGAAAUUAAAGGAAUAAUUGAAGAGAGAACAGAUAGAUCUUUUUGUAAAUUGUAAUUGUCAUUACCCGAAUUCCGGGCUGGGAUUGUUGUGCCAGGUUGAGGCCAAAAUGGCCAUAGCGAAUAAAUAUAUUUAUAAUUUCAAA